AUAGGCGGGGUGAUAGCGGUGCCCUGUACCCGAAAACCGCUUUAUGCGGGGCUGAAUUCCCUCCCGAGCAUAAUGAUCGGAUACCGUAAUUCAUUCAGGUCGGCCGCCGCGCAACAGACGGUUACGAACCUCGUCAGGUCCGGAAGGAAGCAGCGAUAAGUAAUGGCAGUCUGUGUCGCGGAUCGUUCCCGGCUUUGCAAUGAUUUACCCUUUCCGUGCCCAUGCGAAGGAGGGUUCCCGG
rnacentral:SRP_RNA from 1 species